CUUCCCCGCGCCGGCGCGUUAGAUUCAGCAUCUCCUAGAGGGAUGCUCUUCUUCUGCGCAGACGCGGUCCCUGUGGUUCCUAUGGGCAAUCCCCAUGACAUCUGCCGUGAUUACCACGCCCAUCUUAGAGUGAGGAGCUGCCCCCUACUCAGCUGUGUAUCAUCUCACUCUGAUUGAGGGCAGCUUAUUAGUGAGCCGCACAGCUGAUGUGUCAGCGUGAGCUCUGCCAGAGGAAUCAUUCCUUGGUACACAGAGGCAACAGCAGGUCAUAGUAUCUGGACUAUACAGUUCUCCUGGGCAAUUUAUCUGCCCUAUUCCCGGCAGUUAUUAUUGCAACUAGAAUCAGUAUAGUAUUGACAGAAAUCUCUUGGGAUGAAUUAUAUCCAUCUCUUCUGAGACUACCUCAUCAUCAAUCUUCCCAUUUUUUUCUAUCAUCAUUUUAAUCGGUACCUGCUUGCCUCCGGCUCCUCUUCCUCUAUAGGCUUGCAUCCAGGCUCUGUGCAUUGCACGGCGUUCCUACCCGCAUGCUUAAGAGGAUCAUUUCCUCUUUUUCCCAUCCCUCCUUCCAUCUAUCUGGGACUCUCCAUCUGGGACUUUGAGCCAAUCACGGCCAAUCAUUCAGGUUUUUUUAGUCCACUCUUACAGGUAAAUAUAUUCUUUAUAAUUAUUAUUUAUAUUUCUUUCGUUAAAGUCCACAGCUACCACAGAUACUCCAUUAACUCGACUUUCGUUUAUUUAAAUAAAAUACAUUAUCUUUAUGUUCUAUAAUAAACGAUGAUUAUAUUAAACUCUAUGGUCAACCAGACACGUUUGUAUGUACCGAUAUAAUCAAUUUAUGUGACUAUUUGUAUAUAUUAUGAUUUAUAUGUUCCUGUUCAUUGAUAUACUCUUUGUUUGCUCAGACUACUGCCCCCCAU